UUUAAUGAAGACCUGUAUGAAUGGCAUAACGAGGGUUUGACUGUCUCUUUCUCCUGGUCAGUGAAACUGAUCUACCCGUGCAGAAGCGGGUAUGAAUAUACAAGACGAGAAGACCCUAUGGAGCUUUAGACGCCCACCAAUCAUGAAAAGCAAGUCUCAGUUAACAGGCCUCCAAACAACAUGAUACUGGUAUAAACGUCUUCGGUUGGGGCGACCGCGGGAGAGAAAAAAGCUCCCGAGAGGAUUGGGGCUACCCUAAAACCAAGAGCUACACCUCUAAGUCACAAAACAUUUGACCAAAAAUGAUCCGGCUAUUUGCCGAUUAACGAACCAAGUUACCCUAGGGAUAACAGCGCAUUCCCUUCCCAGAGUCCAUAUCGACAAAGGGGUUUACGACCUCGAUGUUGGAUCAGGACAUCCUAAUGGUGCAGCCCCUUUUAAGGGUUCGUUUGUUCAACGAUAAAAGUCCUACUUGAUCUGAGUUCAGAC
rnacentral:rRNA from 1 species